AUGGGUCUGUCAGUACUAUUAGAGUUGAUUCUAAUGGGGAUUGAAAUUGGCAGUGAUCGAAGAGGCAGGAAGAAGAGAAUGAAGACGAGUACACAGCAGUCAAUAACUUCAACAAGUAAGGAUGUAUUGUUGCAAGAUAAAAUAAAGCAAAGCACACCUGAAGUUGACACACAAGGAGUCAAAGCUGAAUUGCAACCAGUACCAUGGAAUGGUCCUAUAAAUGAGCACAAACAUCAAGAUGAAAUGGAAGUAAAUUCUGAAAUUGGUAAAGGAUGUACAUAUAUAGUUGGACAACCGGUGCGUGCUGAAUGCAUUGCACUGCAACAAGAUGCCCGCGAGGGAGAAAGCAUGAACAAGGUUGGCCCUGCUAAACACAACCAAGACACAAAUAUGUUGGAUGGACAUAGCAACAUCCUCGAGCGCAGUGUCAAUGCUUGUCCUAUUGAAAUAGAAGCACCACAGAAAAGCACUAGCCUGAACUACAUGCUAUUAUCAGCUAGAUUGGCAAAAGCAGUGAUGAGCACGACACAAGUUAACAAUUCAAAGGAAGUAUCCACCAGAGAUGUACAGACAACAUUCACAGGGUUACAACAUAAUACUGUUAACAACAAUAAAACACAGCAUUGCAUAGACACUAGUACCAUGGAGCAACGAAAUGAGAAGCAAGCAGUGGUUUCUGAAUGUGUGGAACAUCAAAACAACAUUGACAAAGACGAUAAGCAACAACAUGUCAAAGAGUUACAGGACACUUUGCAUCCAUUAGAUAUUGCAAGGCAAAAGUACUUCUUCGCAGAUGAUGCGACACCUAGCUGCAGAAUUCUUCCAGACCAUGAUGAUUGUGGGAAUCAAAUAAUAGAGCCAGAAUUGUGGCGCCCAUUAGAGAUGAACUCGGAAGAAUAUAAUUCUCAAAUAGAGGAAGCAAAGAAAAAAUAUCCAUGCAAUACAAGCAAGGAUGAGCAAGAAGAGCAAGGAGAUUCCUCCAUACAGUGUGCGCAGAGACAACCCGUGUCCACAGGCAUUUGCAAGUACAGAGACUUUCUUCCACAGUUUGAAGAAAAGGAUGGCAUCAUCGACUUGACAUCGCCUGUUGCACGCAUGUCACACACUUGGGAUAGAGCAACAACAGGCUACUCCCCAAUGGGCAAAUGGAACAAUGAGAACGCUGAAAGUCCUACACAAAAGCACAAGAAGAGAUAUUCAACAACAGCAAUUUUAGGGAAGAGGCUUUUUUCAGAUGAGUUUGAUGAAAAUGAUGAACAAGAAGGCACUAAACACCAACCAAUCCCUGUGUCUCCGGAUGUUCAAGUUUUGGGGGAGAGAUCAUUCAAUGGUUCAUGCUCUAGUAUGGUAAACACGGCGGACAAUUUAUACAACACGAAGCUAUCAUUAGGCACUUCAUCAAGUGGUAAAGAGAAUUUGCCUCCAAAAAGGAUAACACACCCAAGCAAGUGGCUCUCCUCACCAUAUGAUCACAACGAGAGAGGACCUCUUCAGCCACAUGAGAUAGAGCUACACAGGGGCAUAGUGGCACUAAGCAAAGUUGAACCUCACAUAAGCAAAGUGGUUGUGUUGAUUGACAAAACAAGCCUUUUCCUUGGACAACUUGGCGAUUCAUUUGGUGUGAGUGGUCACGUGGAAGCAUAUGUUUUCAACGUUUUUCUGUCGGAUGCUCUUUCGAGAGAAUCAUCCAAGGAGAUCAAAAACGCACUACUUCUUCACUACACUAGGUGA
rnacentral:rRNA from 1 species